UGAUGGUUUGAAUUGGGACUCCUUUUCUAUCUAUGCAUACACAACCCUUCCAUCAACGCCCUUCAUCAUUAACGCUGCUCGGACAUAUCUCUAUUUCUCCUUUGCCUCCCUGUAUAGACAUUUUUCCAGGCUGCAUUAUUUCUUAAUUUUUUUGAAUAGAAUUAAGGGUAUGUUUAGGUUUUCUAAUUUGAUUAUAUUUAAUUUGGCUUUGAGUGCUUAUUUGAGCCCUAAACUGAUGUCUUCUUUCUCCAGAAGUUCCCUUUUACGUGAUUGAUCAUGUUUAGAUUUUAAAAUGAAGAACCGUAAUCGACUGAUAUGCUGAUUGUUUGAUAGUUUUUGUUCUAAUUUUUUGGUUUUGGUGGUUUAACGGAAUCAAUCCUACAGUAUCGGGUGCGCCCAUUUCGAUUGUCAAAAUUGAUGCCAUGGAAGCCCAAAUUAAGAUGAAAUCUGUGGACAGGGCCAUUAAUGCUCUGAAGGAAGAAGAACCUGAUCUGGUUUUUACAUUUGAAGCUGGUUCUGACCAAUCUUUGAAAUAAUAUCAAAUGAUAUGGCUAAUGCUUGUUGUACAUAUUUUGUGAACUUUAUUGCAGAUUUCAUGGAAAUUAGUAGAGCGGGAAUGUUUGGGACGUGGGGAAAGCGAUUGGAAUAAGAGGGCGUCAAGGAUUUUGGGCUUGAUGGGUAGUGGAGAUUAUGCAUGGAGCGGGCUUGAUGGUUAUUUGAAGGCUUAGAGAAAAUGAAGUUUGAAUUUGCAAGAUGCGGGAGAAUAUUCAAGCGCGCGUAGAUCAUAAAUCAGGCGAGUUCACGAGCUUUGGAGGAUUUGGAGAAAUCAAAUUGGGCUUAAAAUGAAGAAAACUUGAAGAAAAAUGGGCUAGGAGCUGAUUGGACUCAAACUGGACCAAGUGCGCUAAGCUAUGGAGGCCCAAACCUCAAAGAUGCUACAUCCAGGGACCACCCGCGCAACCCACCCGCGCAGCAGCACGAGGGUCACGCAACCUCCUGCAGGGGCAAUUUCGGAAAUCCAUUUGGAAGGCUAUUUGAGGAAGGUUGGUGCCCAUCUUUUGGGGACUCUUGGACAUCCGAUUUUUGGAGAUUCUCUCUGGAGUUUUGAAGACUUUUGAAGGCCAAGAACACUUGAAGAACAUCAUAUUUUUACCUCUUGAUUCUUGCUUAAUGUUUGGUACAAUUUUCUCUAACUUUGUUUCUUUGGGUUUAGCCAUGCUUGGCUAAACUAAUCUUGGUUGACUUUUGGUUAAUCCUUUGAACUUUUGUUGAAUGUUGAAGAAUCCAUGAACAUGUUCUUAAAUCUUUAUGGGAAUGUUUUGUGUUUUAACAUCUUAUCACUACUUGUAUGUUUUAGUUCAUGAGUUUAAAUGUGCUUGUGGUGAU